CUCCAGCUGACGAGUCCAAGAGAGAACGAAACGCGCGUCAAAAUGGAU
rnacentral:hammerhead_ribozyme from 1 species